UACGGAGGGUGCAAGCGUUAUCCGGAUUCACUGGGUUUAAAGGGUGCGUAGGUGGAAUGGUAAGUCAGUGGUGAAAUCUCCAAGCUUAACUUGGAAACUGCCGUUGAUACUAUCACUUCUUGAAUAUCGUGGAGGUGAGCGGAAUAUGUCAUGUAGCGGUGAAAUGACUUAGAUAUGACAUAGAACACCGAUGCGAAGGCAGCUCACUACGCGAUUAUUGACACUGAGGCACGAAAGCGUGGGGAUCAAACAGG
rnacentral:rRNA from 1 species